AGGUGUCCGGCUUUGCUGGCCCAGCAAGCCUGAUAAGCAUGAAGCUCUUAUCUUUGGUGGCUGUGGUCGGGUGUUUGCUGGUGCUCCCAGCUGAAGCCAACAAGAGUUCUGAAGACAUCCGGUGCAAAUGCAUCUGUCCACCUUAUAGAAACAUCAGUGGGCACAUUUACAACCAGAAUGUAUCCCAGAAGGACUGCAACUGCCUGCACGUGGUGGAGCCCAUGCCAGUGCCUGGCCAUGACGUGGAGGCCUACUGCCUGCUGUGCGAGUGCAGGUACGAGGAGCGCAGCACCACCACCAUCAAGUGGGCCUCAUCCUCCAGGGACCAGAUGCCUGAGACCUGAAAUUCAGAGCCAGAUGUCACCGCUGCUCCCUGUUUGGCUGGGAGGGAACUUCCUGGCAUGGGGACCUCAUCAGAUACAAUUUCCUAAUUCCUCCCAUUUCCCCCAGUUCUCCUACCUAGGAGGCACCCCUCAACUUCAGCCUAUUGAAGACCCAGCCUCUGUUCUCCUUCCACAUUCCUGGGGUACAGAUCAUCAUUGUCAUCUACCUGUCUGUGGUGGGUGCCCUGUUGCUCUACAUGGCCUUCCUGAUGCUGGUGGACCCUCUGAUCCGAAAGCCGGAUGCAUACACUGAGCAACUGCACAAUGAGGAGGAGAAUGAGGAUGCUCGCUCUAUGGCAGCAGCUGCUGCAUCCCUCGGGGGACCCCGAGCAAACACAGUUCUGGAGCGCGUGGAAGGUGCCCAGCAGCGGUGGAAGCUGCAGGUGCAGGAGCAGCGGAAGACAGUCUUCGAUCGGCACAAGAUGCUCAGCUAGAUGGGCUGGUGUGGUUGGGUCAAGGCCCCAACACCAUGGCUGCCAGCUUCCAGGCUGGACAAAGCAGGGGGCUACUUCUUCCUUCCCUCGGUUCCAGUCUUCCCUUUAAAAGCCUGUGGCAUUUUUCCUCCUUCUCCCUCACUUUAGAAAUGUU
rnacentral:sRNA from 1 species